GCUGUUCUCAAAAGGAGACCACACAUCUCUCUCAGAGUCUUUGCCAUUUUGUUUUUGUGUGGGCUGGCAGGCCUCAGCAUGCUGGAAUAAUAAACAUGCUUGCUGAUUGCAUACGCGCAUGCUGGUCUUGUUGGGACUUUUCCAGGUCCGUCACGGCCACAAGCUGCUUCAAGCUAAAACUACGGACAUGGACUUCUGAACCUGGGAAUGCUAGUAUCCUCCUGUGGCCCAGAGCCUCCUCCCUCUUACCUGUCAUCUUAAGGUGGCUCCCUCCUGACUCUACAAGGCUGGCCUGAAUAGAAGAAUAGAAGCACACCUUUAGGAGCAAGCAGAGGGUCAGAUGCUACUACAAGGGGGCCUUCCAGUAGAGCAUGGUGCUUAACAAGUUAAGAGAAAUUCAAGACACAGCAAUGAUUCAGUGUGCUUCCCACUUCCAUCCCAGGGCAAUCUAAGAAUUUUAACACAGCACAAGACAUUCCUCUUAAAGUACCUUGAGUUGGUUCAUUUGACUUUCCUGAGGGAAAUUAUGAGCCUAGCAGAGUUAAUCUGUAUGUACUGACCACUUAAAUAAAAAGCAUCACCAAGGACAGAUAAA